UAUUAAAAAACUUAUCCAUUUCGACUGUUAAAAAAUUGGUGUGUCUGAUGAAAUAACUAGACAAUUACAUGUGACGUGCCACAUGUACCUCAUGCUAACAUACAUGAACCAAUUUUUAAUAGUAGAUUUGGAUUAAUUUUUAACA
rnacentral:pre_miRNA from 1 species